GGCUCAGAACGAACGCUGGCGGCAGGCUUAACACAUGCAAGUCGAACGCCCCGCAAGGGGAGUGGCAGACGGGUGAGUAACGCGUGGGAAUCUACCCAUCUCUGCGGAAUAGCUCUGGGAAACUGGAAUUAAUACCGCAUACGCCCUACGGGGGAAAGAUUUAUCGGGGAUGGAUGAGCCCGCGUUGGAUUAGCUAGUUGGUGGGGUAAAGGCCUACCAAGGCGACGAUCCAUAGCUGGUCUGAGAGGAUGAUCAGCCACAUUGGGACUGAGACACGGCCCAAACUCCUACGGGAGGCAGCAGUGGGGAAUAUUGGACAAUGGGCGCAAGCCUGAUCCAGCCAUGCCGCGUGAGUGAUGAAGGCCUUAGGGUUGUAAAGCUCUUUCACCGAUGAAGAUAAUGACGGUAGUCGGAGAAGAAGCCCCGGCUAACUUCGUGCCAGCAGCCGCGGUAAUACGAAGGGGGCUAGCGUUGUUCGGAAUUACUGGGCGUAAAGCGCACGUAGGCGGAUAUUUAAGUCAGGGGUGAAAUCCCGCAGCUCAACUGCGGAACUGCCUUUGAUACUGGGUAUCUUGAGUAUGGAAGAGGUAAGUGGAAUUCCGAGUGUAGAGGUGAAAUUCGUAGAUAUUCGGAGGAACACCAGUGGCGAAGGCGGCUUACUGGUCCAUUAC
rnacentral:rRNA from 1 species